AGUGGCAUCAUUUACUGGUUUCUCCCUAGCUCUCAUCUCCUCAACAGUCAAUCCAAAAACGUUGUUUGUUACUUCGCGAGGUCUAAUCUCUGCCUGCUGAACAGUUAGGUAUUUUAGGAAGAGAAGAUGGGAUUUAUCAUGGAAUUUGCUGAGAAUUUGAUUCUGAGGUUAAUGGAGGAUCCAAAGGAGAGGGACUGGAAGUUCAGGGAGCGUGUAUAUGCAGUUAAGGAUCGAUGCCAAAAGACCAAGGAAAUGUGGAGCUAUCCUCUUCGCCCUUAUGGGUUUUGGACAUUUGAGCGCCACAAUGCGCAGCUUGCUUGGGAUGCUAAGAUUAGCCAGGUUCCUGGUCGGAGGGACCCCUAUGAUGACCUCCUUCAAGAUAGUUAUGGCUUCCCCAAGUGAAUGAAUUCACUCAAGAAAGUUCAGUUUCCAUUAGCAGACUGACAAGAAAGCUUUCUUGGAGAAACGAGUGUGGAGAUUGAUGUUUAAGCUCUUUUCUUUUUCCCGUCUCAAAGUAGUGUAUUCUGUGGACUGUACGGAUGUCAGCUGAUUUCGUAAUACCCUGGAUGUCCGAGACUUGUUCAUGAGUUUGAAUAAUUGCCCAUAUAACUCUUGUCAAUGGAAUUGAGCGUUCAUGAUGACUCCUAUUCUUCUUAAUCCUUCCUCACAAAUAAAUUCCCUCCGGUGUUCUUUAA